rnacentral:rRNA from 1 species
GAGUUUGAUCCUGGCUCAGAACGAACGCUGGCGGCGUGCCUAACACAUGCAAGUCGAACGUGAUCCAGAGCUUGCUCUGGUGAAAGUGGCGCACGGGUGAGUAACGCGUGGAUAACCUACCCUGGUAUCCGGGAUAACAUUCCGAAAGGGGUGCUAAUACCGGAUAAGCCCACGGGCUCUUUGGAGCUUGCGGGAAAAGGUGGCCUCUAUUUAUAAGCUACUGUAUCAGGAUGGGUCCGCGUACCAUUAGCUAGUUGGCGGUGUAACGGACCACCAAGGCGACGAUGGUUAGCUGGUCUGAGAGGAUGAUCUGCCACACUGGAACUGAGACACGGUCCAGACUCCUACGGGAGGCAGCAGUGGGGAAUUUUGCGCAAUGGGGGAAACCCUGACGCAGCAACGCCGCGUGAGUGAUGAAGGCCUUUGGGUCGUAGAGCUCUGUCAGAGGGGAAGAAAUGAUAUAGUGCUAAUACCACUUUAUCUUGACGGUACCCUCAAAGGAAGCACCGGCUAACUCCGUGCCAGCAGCCGCGGUAAUAC